rnacentral:rRNA from 1 species
UACAGAGGGUGCGAGCGUUAAUCGGAAUUACUGGGCGUAAAGCGCGCGUAGACGGUUUUGUAAGUCAGAUGUGAAAUCCCUGGGCUCAACCUGGGAACUGCAUUUGAGACUGCAUGGCUAGAGUAUGGAAGAGGGAAGUGGAAUUUCCGGUGUAGCGGUGAAAUGCGUAGAUAUCGGAAGGAACACCAGUGGCGAAAAGCGACUUCCUGGUCCAAUACUGACGUUCAUGUGCGAAAGCGUGGGGAAGCAAACAGGG